rnacentral:rRNA from 1 species
CAGCAGCCGCGGUAAUACGAAGGGUGCAAGCGUUACUCGGAAUUACUGGGCGUAAAGCGUGCGUAGGUGGUUGUUUAAGUCUGCUGUGAAAGCCCUGGGCUCAACCUGGGAAUUGCAGUGGAUACUGGGUCACUAGAGUGUGGUAGAGGAUAGUGGAAUUUCCGGUGUAGCAGUGAAAUGCGUAGAGAUCGGAAGGAACAUCUGUGGCGAAGGCGACUAUCUGGGCCAACACUGACACUGAGGCACGAAAGCGUGGGGAGCAAACAGGAUUAGAGACCCCCGUAGUCCCUGUCUCUUAUAC